rnacentral:rRNA from 1 species
AUACGGAGGGUGCAAGCGUUAUCCGGAUUCAUUGGGUUUAAAGGGUACGUAGGCGGAUAGAUAAGUUAGUGGUGAAAUCCCGAAGCUCAACUUCAGAACUGCCAUUAAAACUGUCUAUCUUGAAUUUGGUUGAAGUGGGCGGAAUAUGACAUGUAGCGGUGAAACGCAUAGAUAUGUCAUGGAACACCGAUAGUGAAGACAGCUCACUAAGCCAAUAUUGACGCUGAGGUACGAAAGCAUAGGUAGCGAACAGGAUUAGAAACCCGAGUAGUCC